CCUCUGAGAACCUGUUAGUCCGCUUGCGGGGGUCGCGGCCGGCAAGAAAACAAAUGAUGAAUGUGAAGGAACAGUAACACGGAAUUUUUACCAUUCACCAGUCGCAAAACUGUUUAGAGGGAAAAAGUUUAAAUAAAUGAAGAAUUCAGAGCCUGAACGUAAGCCGAAAGCAAGAUACCAAAAAAGGAAGAAAAGAUCAAAGAACUUGGAAUAGAAGUCUAGCAAGUUGAACCCAGAUAGGAGUCAUUUCAAGACUUUGCCCUGGAACCCAGAAAUUUGCAGAAGUAAUCCACAGAGUUGGCAGCCCCAUAGAUGGUGUUAUGUACUUGAUGCUGCCUAGAAUUCUGCUAUCAGAAGACUGUUCACUUGAUGGAACAAGCACUUCAGAGUCUAGACGAUGACCUAAAGUGUUAACGAUGGUCAGUGGAAGAUGGCUAUCUACCAUACCCUGCCCCCCACAAGUAUGCAAGAACUAAGGACUUUGGAUAUCCAUGAAGAGGUUUGAUGAUGGCUGCAUUUGAAGCUUUUCCAUUAAAGAUGAGCUGGCAGAAAUUGCAGCGGUGUACC